UGCUGGAGGAGUCAAUCUUUUCAGUGACGAAGCUAACGCAUUAAGUGUCCCGCCUGGGAAGUACGCCCGCAAGGGUGAAACUCAAAGGAAUUGACGGGGGCCCGCACAAGCGGUGGAGUAUGUGCUUUAAUUCGAUGCAACGCGAAGAACCUUACCUGGGUUUGACAUGGGGGUGAAAGUUUCCAGAGAUGGAUUCCCUUCCGCAAGGAACGCCCUACGCAGGUGCUGCAUGGUUGUCGUCAGCUCGUGUCGUGAGAUGUUGGGUUAAGUCCCGCAACGAGCGCAACCCUCGCCCUUAGUUGCCAUCAGGUUAUGCUGGGAACUCUAAGGGGACCGCCUAGCUUAACUAGGAGGAAGGUGGGGAUGACGUCAAAUCAUCAUGGCCCUUACGCCCAGGGCUAGACACGUACUACAAUGGUCGGUACAGCGGGAUGCGAGACGGUGACGUUUAGCUAAUCCCUUAAAACCGAUCUCAGUCCGGAUUGAAGUCUGCAAUUCGACUUCAUGAAGUUGGAAUCGCUAGUAAUCGCGGAUCAGCAUGCCGCGGUGAAUACGUUCCCGGGCCUUGUACACACCGCCCGUCAAGCCAUGAAAGAUGGCAGUACCCGAAGUCGCUUCUCAAACCGCAAGGGUGAGUGCGCCUAAGGUAAGGCUGUUAAUUGGGGCUAAGUCGUAACAAGGUAGCCG
rnacentral:rRNA from 1 species